UCUUCCUUUAGAGGGGUUACAGGUAGCCAUUGUGUCACACAUGCUUCAGUAAGUGGCAGAGAGGACAGAGGCUAUGUCUAUGCUCAGUGUUCUAACCUGUGAACAUCCGAGUGAUUAGUAGUCAAAAGAU
ensembl:snoRNA LOC120102678 small nucleolar RNA SNORA17